rnacentral:rRNA from 1 species
CAUGUAGGCGGUCUACCAAGUUCGGAGUGACAGUCACCAGCUUAACUGGUGAAGGACUUCGAAAACUGGCGGACUUGAGAGCGAAAGAGGGACACGGAAUUCCGGGUGGAGCAGUGAAAUGCGUAGAGAUCCGGAGGAACACCAAAGGCGAAGGCAGUGUCCUGGCUCGUUUCUGACGCUGAGGUGCGAAAGCCAGGGGAACGAACGGGAUUAGAUACCCCGGUAGUCCUGGCCGUAAACGAUGACCACCAGGCGUGGGAGGGAUCGACCCCUUCCGUGCCGUAGUCAACACCAUUAAGUGGUCCGCCUGGGGAGUACGGUCGCAAGACCUAAA